AAGAAAGGAUAUGAUUAAGAGAAUUCAACUAAAUUGCUUAUCCUAAGGGAGCAUUCCCAAACAUUCAACUCUACACAAUUUCCUUUUCUUUGAUCCCUAUUUUUUUUUCUUUUCUUAUUACAUCCACACAACCAUGAGCAUUUCUUUGCUUUUUUUUUCUUUUUCGUUGCUCUAUGGUUUCAAGGGUGAUUUCUUUUUCUUGUUUCUUUUCAAAUUUUCACCCUUUCAUAAGAAACUCACUUUUCCAAGUUUCUAAUCAACUUUUCAUUUUACUCUCCCCAACUUUAGAUUCCAAAACCAAAUUUAUUCAAUAAUGCUCCCUACUUAGAUAUAAGCAAAAGGCAAAAUUUUGCAAACAACUCGGUUUGAGGUUUCAACUGAUACGAAAGAAAUUAUUCUCCCCAACUUUAGAUUCCAAAACCAAAUUUAUUCAAUAAUGCUCCCUACUUAGAUAUAAGCAAAAGGCAAAAUUUUGCAAACAAC
rnacentral:lncRNA from 1 species